UGUUGUUUGAUCACAGUUCACAGCUGGCAAGAGCAUGUAGUAUGUGCAUUAUCUGCUUUCUGCCAUUUGAUACUGGAUAUCUUACACCUCAGCAAUCCAAUGUUUAAAGAAGGACUGGUAGGCCUGCUCAAUGCUCCAGCAGAGUUUUGUGUUUGCCGUGCCUUCCCCUGCAUCCUGCCUGCUGGACCAUUACUCAGAAGAGAACAGCAUCUGGAUCAGGAAACUACAUUUUGGGACCUAAAUGUGGGGGGAAAAAAUGCUUUCUACAGGAACAGCAUUGUGAAGGCUUAGGAGCAGAAAUCAGUGAUGCUGCUGAUGCACAGAAGUGGAAUUUGAGUUUUAUGACUGGAUGGAGAACACAGCAAAGAAUUAAGACAUGGUUGAAGUGAAAGGAAAGUUUGAGAGUAGCAGAAGUAGAAGGAUUUAUGAUCACUAAAGCAUAUUCUACUCAACUUCAAACUCAAUCCUAUGCUCACUGCCUUCCCAUGACUUCAUAGUUAUAAAAAGGUAUUAAAUCUUUAAUCAGAGUAAGAUGUAAUGAUUUCCUUUUUCUCAUACAGCGUUUGUAAACAAAAUGGAUUGUUUUCACUUAGUGGACCAAGCUCCUGGAAAAAAAACAAACCAAACCAAACCCCUGUAUAAAUGGCUUUGUUUAACCAAAAAGAGUGAAAUUCCUCUUUUCUUAUCCUUUCCCAUCCUUUUGAGAAAAAUUAACUAACCCAUGAUCAAGAAGAAAAUGGGUAAUAUACUGGCUCAUUCUGAGCACAGGAUCACAGGACCCAUCUUGGGAACAGCACUGGACCAGCAACAGCACAGGAGUUUCCAGUGUGCAGGAACUUUCUCUGGCACAGAGGCAGUGAGAAGGUAAAUCAGUAUGGGAUCAAUGAUAUAAAAGCAGAAUUUCUUUCCUCUGUGAAUGAAUAAUCUGUGUAGGUAUCAGGGGCCUCCAACAUGGUUCUGUCCCUUUAAACAUUGGCUCAAAAAGGAGUUCUGACGUGCAUUCCCAUAGGGAACCAUUAAUAGUGCUUUCCACUAGAGUUUGCUCUUUGCAGAGACAAACUCUAUCACCUUGUUUGUUAAUAUGUCUGUAUUCAUUCUUGGAAUGAAUUUCUGUCCUAUAAAAACCUGUAAAAUGGGAAUCAGACACUUCAGCUGAGUGAGAAAAUGUCUUUAAAUUUGGGAACUGCUAUAGAAAAUGAGAUUUUGCUUCAUAAACAUUUCUCUGAGAAAUCGGAGAUAAUAAAUAACAGAGUAGGGAUUUCCUCCACCCAUUUUGAAGCAAUUAUUUUUAAAAUACUUUUCAAAAUUAGAAAAAUUUUAGCAUGCAUGGAGAGGAAAUGGAUGUGUUUAGGAUGUUCUGGUUUUGCCUAGCACUAUAAUUUGGUGUAGAGAAUUGGGAAUGUAUUACAAUAAGGAGAAUAGGCAGUGAAUUACAGUCCUGUAGUUAAAAUAACCUUUAAAAUCACUAUCUUUCAUUAUGAGUGUUUCAGUGCACAGAAAAGUCUCAAAGAAAAAAAAACAACAAAAACCACAAACCAAAAAAACCCCAGGAAUGCAUGAGUAUUCAGUCUCCUGAGUUUUAGUUCCUAGUGAUGGCACACUAGAAAUAGAGAGUAUAGCAAUAAGACUGAGUCAUGUAAAAAAGCAGGAGGAAUAGAUGUUAGUUGUGCAGACUAAGGAGUUUGUUCCAAAAACUGUGUAUGCGCUGCUGUGCUUCCCUGAUCCCUGCAAGCAGCAGCACUGUGGUGGCCUGCAAAGCAGUGACCCACUCUGGGUCACAAACCACACUGUUUAGAUAGCGUGGAACGUCUCACAGCCAGCUGUUCCAGGCUGCCUUUCUCCCUGCUGUGCUGGCUGCACAAGCACAGAAAAGGGAAAUGUUCUUCUAGCAGAACCCUGAACUGACAGUAGGAGGUUUGUGUCAAAUAUAUCACUAUCCGUGGCGUGAAAGAUACUGGAAGCUGAGGAUAAACUUUUCACUCAUAAGAAAAAAUCUAACAUUAUAUUAUCCGUACUUCCCAACUAUUCCACAUUGUACCUCUGUCCCCUGUGACCCUUCUCCAUUUUCAGUGAACUUUUAGGCAGCCUUAGAAUGGAUCUUGUAGGAUCAUAUUUACAGGAAAAUGGACAUGUACUAAAUGAACCAGCCUAACCUUCUGGAACUAAAGAACAAGGUCAUCUUUAUGGAUAAAAAAGCUGAUGUUGCAAGAAGAGAGAAGAAACAGAAAAGUUGCUGACAGACAAAGGGGUGCCAACCCGAGUAAAAUUACGCUUACAGCAUCUACCAACUAGAUUAAGAAAGAGAUGCGUGCUUGCCUCGUGGACAAAGCAGAGAUACCAAUCAAGAGAUGCAUGGACAAAGCAGAGAUACCAGUUAAACAAUGUGUGACUGUGUAGACCAAGAUAAGAAGUAAAUAUAAACAAUGUUUAGAAGCACAAUAAACGGCUUUUGCUUGAUUCA